rnacentral:rRNA from 1 species
UGAAUACGAGACGCUACGGCGUCGAAGUAGUGUAUGUCAUACUUCCAAGAAAAGCUUGCACUGUCAUAGAUAAAAAACGCCUGUACCAUAACCGACACAGGUGGGUAGGUAGAGUAUACUAAGGGGCGCGAGAUAACUCUCUCUAAGGAACUCGGCAAAAUAACUCCGUAACUUCGGGAGAAGGAGUGCCUUAUUCGUAAGGUUGCAAUAACAAGAUCCAAGCAACUGUUUAUCAAAAACACAGGUCUCCGCUAAGUCGUAAGACGAUGUAUGGGGGCUGACGCCUGCCCAGUGCCAGAAGGUUAAAGAAGUUGGUUAGCAAUUGCGAAGCUGAUAACUGAAGCCCUGGUGAACGGCGGCCGUAACGAUAACGGUCCUAAGGUAGCGAAAUUCCUUGUCGGGUAAGUUCCGACCCGCACGAAAGGCGUAAUGAUUUGGAUACUGUCUCGGAGAGGGGCUCGGUGAAAUAGACUUGUCUGUGAAGAUGCGGACUACCUGCACCAGGACAGAAAGACCCUAUGAAGCUUUACUGUAACUUGAAAUUGAAAUUGGACUUUAUUCGCGCAGUAUAGGUGGGAGGCGUUGAUUAUAAUCUUGUGGGAUUAUUGGAGCCAUCAGUGAGAUACCACUCUUGUAAUGUUAGAUUUCUAACUUUGAAUCAUUAUCUGGUCAAAGAACAGUUUCAGGCGGGCAGUUUGACUGGGGCGGUCGCCUCCUAAACGGUAACGGAGGCGUACAAAGGUUUCCUCUGAACGGUUAGAAAUCGUAUCUAGAGUGUAAAGGCAUAAGGAAGCUUGACUGUGAGACCUACAAGUCGAGCAGGGACGAAAGUCGGUCUUAGUGAUCUGACGGUACUGAGUGGAAAGGCCGUCACUCAACGGAUAAAAGUUACUCUAGGAUAACAGGCUGAUCUCCCCCAAGAGUUCACAUCGACGGGGAGGUUUGGCACCUCGAUGUCGGCUCAUCGCAUCCUGGGGCGGUAGUACGUCCCAAGGGUUGGGCUGUUCGCCCAUGAAAGCGGUACGCGAGCUGGGUUCAGAACGUCGUGAGACAGUUCGGUCCAUAUCCGGUGUAGGCGUUAGAAUAUUGAGAGGAGCCUUCUUUAGUACGAGAGGACCGAGAAGGACAUACCUCUGGUGUACCAGUUAUCGUGCCAACGGUAAACGCUGGGUAGCUAUGUAUGGAGUGGAUAACCGCUGAAAGCAUCUAAGUGGGAAGCCCACCUCAAGAUAAGUAUUCUCAU